rnacentral:rRNA from 1 species
GACGAACCGUGCGAACGUUGUUCGGAAUCACUGGGCUUAAAGGGCGCGUAGGCGGGUGUGCAAGUCUGUGGUGAAAGCCUCCAGCUUAACUGGAGAAGUGCCAUGGAUACUGCACAUCUUGAGGAGGGUAGGGGCAUCUGGAACGGUCGGUGGAGCGGUGAAAUGCGUUGAUAUCGUCUGGAACGCCAAAGGUGAAAACAGACUGCUGGGAGUGUGCUGACGCUGAGACACGAAAGCCAGGGGAGCAAACGGG